AAGUUGUAGUAAUAGGAGAUAUCAAAUCCUUCCUUUAUUUAUAGUCUCAAUAUAAUCAAUCGUUUUCGUGUGUACUUUUGAAACUGAAUAAGUUUCUUUGAGACUUACUACAGCACAAUACUUAAUUGUGUUUCUCCACCAUAGUAACAAUUGGCUCUUCUAGAGCUCUCAAUUAAUUUUGUACUACCACAGAUUCAUCAACAUCCAUGUGGUGAAUAUCUUUCUUAAAGAGAAAGUUANNNNN
rnacentral:lncRNA from 1 species